UACGAAGGGUGCAAGCGUUACUCGGAAUUACUGGGCGUAAAGCGUGCGUAGGUGGUUUGUUAAGUCUGUUGUGAAAGCCCCGGGCUCAACCUGGGAAUGGCAAUGGAUACUGGCAAGCUAGAGUGCGGUAGAGGGUAGUGGAAUUCCCGGUGUAGCGGUGAAAUGCGUAGAGAUCAGGAAGAACACCCGUGGCGAAGGCGGCUCUCUGGAACGCAACUGACGCUGAGACGCGAAAGCGUGGGGAGCAAACAGG
rnacentral:rRNA from 1 species